GGAAACGGUAGCUAAUACCGCAUAACGUCGCAAGACCAAAGUGGGGGACCUUCGGGCCUCACACCAUCGGAUGUGCCCAGAUGGGAUUAGCUAGUAGGUGGGGUAAUGGCUCACCUAGGCGACGAUCCCUAGCUGGUCUGAGAGGAUGACCAGCCACACUGGAACUGAGACACGGUCCAGACUCCUACGGGAGGCAGCAGUGGGGAAUAUUGCACAAUGGGCGCAAGCCUGAUGCAGCCAUGCCGCGUGUAUGAAGAAGGCCUUCGGGUUGUAAAGUACUUUCAGCGGGGAGGAAGGCGGUGAGGUUAAUAACCUCACCGAUUGACGUUACCCGCAGAAGAAGCACCGGCUAACUCCGUGCCAGCAGCCGCGGUAAUACGGAGGGUGCAAGCGUUAAUCGGAAUUACUGGGCGUAAAGCGCACGCAGGCGGUCUGUCAAGUCGGAUGUGAAAUCCCCGGGCUUAACCUGGGAACUGCAUUCGAAACUGGCAGGCUAGAGUCUUGUAGAGGGGGGUAGAAUUCCAGGUGUAGCGGUGAAAUGCGU
rnacentral:rRNA from 1 species